AUUGGUUAUAGAACUAGAACUCCCCCAAAUCCUCAAUGAAUAUCUCUGUAAUAAACAAUAUAAAAUAGACUAGUUAGAAAGAAAGAUGUUUUAUUUUCAAGUUUAGACAGCAAACUAACUGGAUCUGCGCUUUCACAAAGCUUCAGGGAAUGGAUUAAAGUGAUCUGUUUUAAAUAUAUAAGACAAAAUGCAUAAAGACAUAUUUAUUUCAACCUACUUAUAGUAGGUUUUAUGUUACACUGGUCAAGUUUUUAAUUAGUUUGUUGUCUUAAAUAGGUAAACUUCCCCACUUGAAGUCUUAUUUACACCACCUUUUUUUUUUUUUUGCGCAGACGCAAUUUCAAAGGCAUAUCAAAGUUUAACGUCAAACCAGCCGGAUAUAUAUUAUCAUAAAGUCAUAAUUAAUGAUAAUUGAGGUAUGACUUCAUGGCAACACAAAAGGCACUGUUCCAAAGUGGUACUUAAUGUUUAUACAAUUGCAUUAUAAAAAAUGUUGAACCCAAAGUUAUGUUUCUUUUACUUCUGCUGUUCUUAGAAAUUCUGACUCAUCAAUGGUAAAGAUUUCAAGUAAAAGAACAAAAAGGAGCCAGGGAGAGAUAAGGGUAUAUAAGAAUAAUUCCGUCUCCUCGGGAGUCAUGAGGCUACCCUAGAGCUUUCCAGAGAGAACAAACCAAGGUAAACUUAGGGUUAAUGUCUUUAGGUCUUAGCAUCAAGACACACCAGCACCCUCCCUAAGGGGGAAAAAAAAAAAAUAGGGGCCGGGCUCUUCAGCCUGUGGAAGUUCCUAGGCCAGGGAUCAAACCCAUGGCACAGCAGUAAGCUGAGCUGCUGCAGUAAGAUUGCCAGGUCCUUAAACUGCUAUGCCACAAGGGAACUCCUAAAGGGUAAAUUUGAAGUGCCUUCCUAAGUGGCUCAACUGGCAGGUGUUAAUUAACAACAUAAUGUGAUUCCUGGCUCAAAGAAAGGAUAACUUAGAGGGUGCUUCUGCUCACUGUUUGACUCAUCAUUGCACCCAUGCAGUAAGGCUCCCUUCAGCCUUCCAUGGCUCAUGGUCAAGCACACAUGUCUUUUUUUUUUUUUUUCAAGGCCACACUUGAGGCAUAUGGAAGUUUCUGGGCUAGAGGUUGAAUCAGAGCUGCAGUUAAGCCUGCACCACAGCCAUGGCAACACUAGAACCGAGCUGAGUCUGUGACCUAUACCGUAACUUGUGGCAACGCUGGAUCCUUGACCCACUGAGCAAGGCCAGGGAUUGAACCACAUCCACAUGGAUACUACGUCGAGUUCUUAACCCACUGAGCCACAACAGGAACUCCAACACCCAGGCUUGGAGUGAUGCUGGACUCAAAUCCCAAUUAAGCUGUUAUUUAACCUACACUAGUUUAGAAAAGUCACCCAAUUUGUCACCCAAGGUAAACUUGAAUGUCUGUCUCUAUACACUCAGACGGUGACUGAAUAGAGAAUUUUAUUCCAGGAAUGUUUUCUUACCACUUCCCAGUGUUCUCACUGAGAGGAGAGACCAGGAGAAAUUCUGAAUUUAGGAGAGAAAGUAAUUACUAACAGGAGCGAUAAUCACAGGACAACCCGAAGUAAUUAGAAUGUGUAGCCAAGAGGUAAACUGAGUCUGUGAACACCCAAUGUAGGAGAACAAGAGAAAAAUCCUUAUGGACACUAGAAAGUAAGGGAGGCAGAGUUCCCUUUGUGGCUCAGCAGGUUAAGAACCUGACAUAGUGUCCCUGAGGAUGCGGGUUCAACCCCUGGCCUCACUCAGUGGGUUAAGUAUCCAGCAUUGUCGCAAGUUGUGGUGUAAGUCACAAGUGCGGCUCAGAUCCUGCAUUGCUGUGGCUGUGGGGUAGGCCGGCAGCUGCAGCUCUGAUUGGACCCCAGGCCCAGGAACCCAGAGGAAUAUGGUGCUGAGGUGCCGCUGUAAAAAGAAAAAAAAAGAGAGAGAGAAAAGGAGGAAUCAAACUACCCUGACAGAUUCUCAUCCAAGGAGGAGCUUCCUAAACGCUGUUGAGACAGGAACAAAUCAUAUGUGGGAAUUAUAGAAAUUGUAGGGUAACGGUCUCUAAAUGCUAUUGAAUGUAAAGGGACCAUUGAAGAAGUGAGUCAGAUUCUAAUAACAGUGGUCAAAUUUCUUUCACUUUCUUGAGGGUUCUUAAUAUAUUUGCAUGUCAAAAGCAAUCCAGAUCUGGCAUUGGAAAUUUCCCCCACUAUCUUUCCCUGUAUCAGGCAGCCUUUUCUUGAAAAGUGAAACAACUAGGGAUCUUGUCCAGUCUUGUGUUAAAACAGUAAGUGUUUGGUCGGCCCCUUCACUUUUCUGAGCCUAUUUUCCCAUUCGUAAAAUAAGGCACCUGGAAGAUCUCCAAAAUCAUUCUCAAGUGUAAAAUCCAUGAUCCUAUUGAAAAGAUUUUCAGGAGAAACUCCAGUCCUGAUUGUUUGAAAAGCAUGAUAUUUAUAAUUCCUAUUGGCUGCUGGGUUUUUACUCUCCAUGUCCAGUAAUUUUUGUGGACCUUAACAUAACUUCACAAUGACCCAUAUUUAUAAUUUUUUAGUCCUUUAAUGUUGUUUAUUUCAACUGUCUAAAACACACAUUACCUCUGUUCUUUCAUAGAACAUUUAUUUUUCUAUUUUCAGUUCCAGUGCCAUAAACUUCUCUUUCCACAUCAGCCAGAUGUCUCCCAGUGACCAUUAAUGGGAACCACCACAAAGGAUGCUGACAGAUCAAAAAAAACAAUCACUACAAUGGGAAAAAACAAACAAACAAAAAAAAACAAAGCCAAAGUACCCCCAAGUGAUUUGACACUUUUGUGAAACAAGGUAAUGGCCAUCAGCACAGCUCUGGGUGUCUGGGGACCUGGAGUGACACUACCUUUUUGAGCCACGUUCAUAUGCCAAGUGGAAUAAGUUUAGCUGCCCUACUUUCCCAAACAGUGGUUUUAAGAGAAAUGAUGUGAUGUACAUAAAGGAAUUUUAUGCACACAGAAGUAUGUUGUCAUGGAAAUAAGUAGCUCCCAUCUUCCUAAAAAUAGCUGAUAUGUCAUCAUAUCAACUAAGGAGUGGUCUGAGUCUAUAAAAUAUCUAUCUUGGUGAAAGAUUUUCUUUUACAGUAAUUCAAGAUUGCCUGAUGUUUGUUCCAUGGGAUGUUAAUAAGUAUCAUGCAAAUAAAAACAAUGGAACUCCUUCCAAAUUUUUUUUUUUUGAUCAAACAGCCUUAAAAAAUGUUUGGUUAAGCAAAGUUAAACAGACUCCAUUCCUGCAGAACUUCUUAACGUCUUUAAUAUGCUAAUAUUUAAUAUUCCGUGGGCACUAUAUAAUAUGAUGUUUUCCAAGCCCAUUUGACUAUAAAACUGUUUCCCUAGGGAACAUAUAUUGGCAAUAAUUGACAAGUGAGUAUCAUUAGGAAACAGAACACUAAUUUUUUUUCUUGUGCAACUUGCCAAAUGAAGAGAACAUUAAUUAGUUCAGUGUGUGCCUCAGACCUGGAUUCCAGGCAGACACACUGAAUAAAGCCAGAGAAGCCAACACUGAUUCCAGGUGGGUUAAUCACUUUUUAAUAACAGUAAGAUAAACAGGGCUCUAGGCAUCAGAUAUUUUAGAGGCAAGACAGGUUUUUGCUUCUCAAGUUUUAAAGUAAAAACAUAGGUAAGCAGAUGUCAUUUGGCCUAAAAUCACCCAUCGCCGGAGCUGCUCUACUUUCCCAUCCUAGAUCCAUAUCCUAACCUUCUCUUUUCUAUUCAAAACUUAAGGUCCCUAAACUUUCUGGGACACAAUCAGGGGUCCUGGUGAAAGAUGGUUUAUUAUAGUAAAUAAGAACAUACAGUGCAGCCAGAUUGUCUGGAUUCAUGUCCUAGGUUCAGGUUUCCAGUUUGCAAGCUGGGUGGCCUAGGGCAAGUUAUUUCACUUUCCCUGGCCUCACUUUCCUCUAGUAUAGAGCAGAGGUAAUAAUGGUGUGUCUGAGGUACAUAUAGUAUACAUAGUAUACAUACAUAUAGUAUACAUAAUAAGCAUAUAUAGUAUACAUAGUAUACAUGCUAUAUAUAGUACACAUAUAUACUAUAUGCAUAUGUAGUAUACAUAGUAUACAUAUACUAUAGAAUACAUAUACUAUAUCAUAUACAUAGUAUACAUACUAUAUGGAUAUAUAGUAUAUGUAUAUGUAGUAUAUAUAGUAUACAUAUUACAUACUAUAUGUGUGUGUAUAUAUAUAGUAUGUGUAGUAUACAUACUAUACAUACAUACAUAUAGUACUACAUAGUAGUACUACAGAGUAUACACACAUAUAUACUAUAUAUGUACAAUAUACUAUGCUAUAUACUAUAUGUGUAUAUGUAAUGUAUAUAGUAUAUAGUAUACCAUAGUAUAUAUGGUAUACAUUCUGCAUGUAUAAUAUAGAGUAUAUAUAAUAUGUAGUGUAUAUAAUAUAAUAAAUGUAAAACAUAUAAAUUUAAGAACUGAAUAAAUCUGAAUAAAGCCCUUGCUAUCUAAACUCCCACUACUUUUAAAUCAGGAAACAAAUAGCUUUGGACAGCUUAACAUCUCUCGUUAUCUAACUUUGCUAUCCACACUCGCUAACUAAAUAAAUCUAAUAGUAAGGAAUAUUUGUGGUACUUAUAUCAUCGAGUCCUUGUGAGGACUAAAUUAGUUAAUAUCUGUAAAGCACUUUGAGACUGUCUGGCACAGAAUGAGUAUUUCCUAUUCCUACUAUGCCAGCUACCACAACAUAAUAUUCUGUGAGUAUUAAUGAUAGAUUUCUUCUAGAUAAUUUAUUUUUUUAUUUAUAUUUUUUGGCCACACCCACAGCAUGUGGAAGUUCCCGGGCCAGGAUCAAACCUGUGGUGCAGGGAGUUCCCGUCGUGGCGCAGUGGUUAACGAAUCCGACUAGGAACCAUGAGGUUGUGGGUUCGGUCCCUGCGCUUGCUCAGUGGGUUAACGAUUCGGUGUUGCCGUGAGCUGUGGUGUAGGUUGCAGACGCGGCUCGGAUCUCGCGUUGCUGUGGCUCUGGCGUAGGCCGGAGACUACAGCUCCGAUUGGACCCCUAGCCUGGGAACCUCCAUAUGCCGCGGGAGCGGCCCAA
rnacentral:lncRNA from 1 species